CCCCCCCCCCCCCCCUUCCCCUCGCCCGCGGUCUCAACCCAUGAUUCGACGCUCUGUGCGCACGCCUUUUGGCCGGGACCUGCUCGUCGAUUUCUAGUCUAGCUAGUUGAUUUCACAACCAGUUUGCCCCGCGAGUCUGACUAGCUUCGGGCUAGGUUUCGGUAGGCGAAUUGUUCGAUUCCAAGCUAUUCGGCGGACGGUGCUUGAUCUGAAUUCCGAAGUAUAGGAGCGUCAAACGAUUUACUGCCUCUGAAUCUUGUGCCGCGUCCUCGUAGAUCCGUGCAUAACUGAGCAAUGAUACUCUGUUCUAGGACAAGUCAACAGCAUUCAUUUCGCUGCCACAUUUUUUUCCCUGAUGGAAGUGUGAGUAAAUCACACAACUAGUUUGACUAAUCUGAAUCAUGAAACUCAGUGGAAUGGAGCAGUGAUGUAUGUCUGUUUUAUCCUGG